rnacentral:rRNA from 1 species
GACGAACGCUGGCGGCGUGCUUAACACAUGCAAGUCGAACGGAAAGGCCCUGCUUGCAGGGUGCUCGAGUGGCGAACGGGUGAGUAACACGUGGGUGAUCUGCCCCUUACUUUGGGAUAAGCCUGGGAAACUGGGUCUAAUACUGGAUAGGACCAUGCUGUAGGUGGUGUGGUGGAAAGAUUAGUUUCGGUAAGGGAUGAGCUCGCGGCCUAUCAGCUUGUUGGUGGGGUAAUGGCCUACCAAGGCGUCGACGGGUAGCCGGCCUGAGAGGGUGGACGGCAACAUGGGGACUGAGAUACGGCGCAGACGCCUACGGGAGGCAGCAGUGGGGAAUAGUGCAAAAGGGGCGCAAGCCGGAUGCAGCGACGCCGCGUGGGGGAUGACGGCCUUCGGGUUGUAAACUACUUGCAGCCACGACGAAGCCCUUGUGGUGACGGUAGUGGUAGAAGAAGCACCGGCUAACUACGUG